CAGAGACAUUAGGACUUACAUCUAUAAGGCAUGUUUAUAUGAUUUUUUAAAAUGGAAAACUGCGCAGGGAAGACGGAAGGAGUAUUUUGAGGAGCUGAUGAAUGAGGAAAAUGACAGGGAAAGAAGGGAGGAAGAUGUGGAUGUUGUGGAGCUUUAAAUUGCAGAGAUUAGAAAGGAUGGGGUGGGGAAGGCUCUGAUGAGGAUGAACAGUGGAAAGGCCGUUGGUCCUGAUGACGUACCUGUGGAGGUGUGGAGGUGUGGAAGUGUCUAGGAGAGACAGCAGCGGAGUUUCUAACCAGUUCAACAGGAUUCUAGAGAGCGUGAAGAUGCCUGAGGAAUGGAGGAGAAGCAUUCUGGUGCCGGUGUCUUUAAGAACAAGGGCGACAUGCAGAACUGCAGCAGCUACAGUACAGAGGAAUUAAGUGAUGAGUCACACAAUGAAGAAAUGGAAAAGAGAAGUGGAAGCCAGGCUCAGGAAGAAGGUGGAGAUUUGUGAGCAGCAGUGUGGUUUCAUGCCCCAUAAGAGCUCCACUGAUGUCAUGUCUGCUCUGAGAAUGCUGGUGGAAAAGUACAGAGAUGGUCAGAAGGAGCUGCAUUGUGUCUGUGGAUCUAGAGAAGGCGUAUGACAGGGUGCCGAGGGAGGAGCUGUGGUACGGGAUGAGGCUGCCGAGGAACAACUGGAGAGGUGGAGGUUUGCUUUAGAAAGAAGAGGCAUGAAAGUCAAUGGUAGUAAGUCAGAAUACCUGCAUCUAAACCAGGGGGUCAAGGUAGAACAGUGAGGCUACAGGGGCUGAGGUGAAGAAGGUGCAGGAGUUUAACAGUUCAGUGUGAUGACGAGUGUGGAGCAGAGGUGGAGGUGAGUGCAGGCGGGUUGGAGCGGGUGGAGGAAAGUGUCAGGGGUGUUCUGUGACAGAAGAGUGUCAGCAAGACUCAAAAGAAAGGUGUAAAGACAGAGGUGAGAGCAGCUCUGCUCUAUGGGUUAGCAACGGUAGCAGUGAGGAAGAGAUGCAGGCAGCAGAGAUGAAGAUGCUGAGGUUCCUUAUAGUGACGAAGUUGGACAGAAUUAGGAACCAGCUCAUCAGAGGACGGUUCACGGUGCCAGCAACAAAGUCAGAGAGGAAAGACUGAGAUGGUUUGGAGAGAGGGGCUGAGCUGUCAACUGAUCACCAUCUGGUAGAGAGUAGGAUCCGCUGGCAGGGAAGACGGAUGGAACGACUUGGCAGGUCCAAACGUAUUGUGAGGGUCUGUUGGGAACGUCUGGCUGAACCCUCUGUCAGACGGACCUUCAACUCACACCUCCGGGAGAGCUUCGACCAGAUUCCGAGGGAGGUUGGAGACAUAGAGUCCGAGUGGACCAUGUUCUCCGUCUCCAUCAUCAACGCGGCCGUUUGGAGCUGUGGACGCAGGGUCUCCAGUGCCUGUCGUGGUGGUAAUCCCUGAACCCGGUGGUGGACGCUGGAGUUAAAAGACGCCAUCAAGCUGAAGAAGGAGUCCUACCAGGUCUGGUUGACCUGUGGGACUCCUGAGGCAGCUGAUGGGUACCGGCAGGCCUAGCGUGCUGCAGCCUGUGCCGUUGCAGAGGCAAAAACUCGGGCUUGGGAGGAGUUCGGGGAGGCCAUGGAGGGGGACUAUCGCUCGACCUCAAAGAGAUUCUGGCAAACUGUUCGGCGCCUCAGGAGGGGGAAGCAGUUCUUUACCAACUCUGUUUUCAGUGGAGGUGGGGAGCUGUUGACCUCAACUAGGGAUGUUAUUGGAUGGUGAAAGGAGUACUUUGAGGAUCUCCUCAACCCCUCCGACAUGCCUUCUGCUGAGGAAGCAGAGGCAGGGGACUCAGAGGCGGACUCGCCCAUAACCCAGGCUGAGGUCACUGAGGUAGUUAGUAAGCUCCUCGGAGGCAGAGCAGCAGGGGUGGAUGAGAUCCUUCCUGAGUACCUCAAGUCUCUGGAUGUUGUGGGGCUGUCUGGGUGACACGCCUCUGCAACAUCGCGUGGACGAGGGGGACAGUUCCUCUUGACUGGAAAACCGGGGUGGUUAUCCCUCUUCUGUGUGAUCCCCCCUAUAGUUGGAACACACAGGAGAGUGUGUUCCAACUAUAGGGGAUCACACUUCUCAGCCUCCCUGGGAAAGUCUAUGCCAGGGUACUGGAGAGGAGAAUUCGUCCGAUAGUCGAACCUUGGAUACAGGAGGAACAAUGUGGUUUUCGGCCUGGUCGUGGAACGCUGGACCAGCUUUAUACCCUCAGUAGGGUGCUUGAGAGUUUGUGGGAGUUUGCCCAACCAGUCUACAUGUGUUUUGUGGAUCUGGAGAAAGCAUUUGACUGCGUCCCUUGUGACAUCCUGUGGGGGGUGCUCCGGGAGUAUGGAGUCCAAGGCUCUUUGCUAAGGGCUGUUCGGUCUCUGUACAACUGGAGCCGGAGCUUGGUUCGCAUUGCCAGCAAUAAGUCAGACCUGUUCCCGGUGCAUGUUGGACUUUGGCAGGGCUGCCCUUUGUCACUGGUUUUGUUCAUUAUUUUAAUGGACAGAAUUUCUAGGCGCAGCCAAGGGCCGGAGGGAGUCUGGUUUGGGGACCACAGGAUAGCAUCUCUGCUUUUUGCAGAUGAUGUUGUCCUCCAACGCGUCCACUUUUCAGCCAUCAACCUGAUCUACGCACUGUCAUCUAAAUAAUUGACAUAUUUUUAUGACAGAGUGUCUUAGUAAUUAUCAAAACAAGCUUUUGCAUGAACUGAUUCUUUGUAAAUUCUACAGUAUAAUGUAUAAUUCUACAAUAUCAUUUUACAACAAACUGAGAAUAAGACUCCUCCCAUUACAGCAUUGCUGUCAAUUCCCAGUCUUGAAGGAAUAUGUGUUCACUUGAACUGCCCUUACAACAAGCAAAGUUCAUGACCAAUGUACAACUUUGUCUUUUUACUGCAAAUCUCUAAUAGAAAAUUUAAUGCGGUGCAUGCAAAUAUAGGUAAUCACUAGGCCAAUGUUGAGAACAGUGGCAGUACAACCAUGUCACAUGUUGAUAUUUUUUAACAUGCAUGAAGAACCAUGGAUGAUGAUCCUAACCCAUCAUGAAUAAAUUAGAGUCUAUUACACCUUUAACAGUAAUGCAGAUUAAUGACGUAAAUUGUGUGAAAAGUAAUGUAAAAGUGCUUUUAAAGAAGGUUUAAAGAGCAACAACAGUGUUGCGCAAUAACAUUUGGCUUUAAGGUUAGGAGCAGUGGUCUGUGUUAAUGUUUUAUGUGCAGCUGUUUAUGGGUCUGGGAGAGAGUCCAGGAUAAAUCAGCUAUGGACGGUUCAUUACAGUCAGCCAUCAAAGAUAAGAGCUGACAGGUUCUUGGGGCUGCUCCUACUGUACCUGAACGCAGCAUCCCAGCCUGGGGGUGGCCACAAGAUGAAUAUGCUUAUCUCAGCAUCACGAGGGCUACACUAUUUGAAUAUGCUGUUCUAGUUUAGCUUAUAGCAUUAAACUGCCUACUUUAGCACAGAGCUACAGGCUGGUAUGAAGAUGCUAAGUAGAUAUUACACUUUCAUUGGAAUUGGAAGCUACUAUUUAUUUCAGGAAUGUCAAACAGUUGAAGACAAUAGAAUACUGUAUACUGUCCAAACAGCCAAAGUAUUCAGCAGCCCAGAUAUAUCUCCUCCUAAGUAUGACAUUCAUGGAUAUCUAAUACAAAUUGAAACCCAAACAUGUCAGGAUUUUAUCACAAAACUAUAAUAAAGAGCUGUAACAUAUUAUUUAUAAACUACGUAUUAAAUUAACAUGCACAUCUUGUUAAUUUCAAUUUAUUUCAACAAAUGACAACAAUCAUUACAAUUUUAUGUGUUCUAUUUGAUUCAUAAGUGGGUUAGCACAGGAUUUUUUAAAACAAGUGAAAUUGGUGAAUUAAACAAAUCAACAUGGCAUCAUUAAGAGAAAUCAGAUUGUUAGAUGUUAAUAUUUAGUGUAGUUUGAAAAUCUAUACACAAACAUUAUUAUGUACGAAUAUAACUACUGUAUCUUGUCAACUAGUGUACAUUUGAUGAAUCCCAAAGGACAGGGUCAACAAGAAACAGCGAUCCACUAAUUAUUCGAAUUUUGAAAUAGGUAUAGACUCAGAGAUACAUGCACAAUAACGCAUACAAAGCAUUUCCAAAUGUGCCAAUUGUAGGAAAG